rnacentral:lncRNA from 1 species
AGGAGCAGCACCAGGUGGAAGAAGAAGGUGGAGCUGGAGGCUCGGAAACGCCGCGGGGACGCCCUGGAGUUCCUCAGGAGGGUGUACUGGAGCACCGUCUGACCCAGGGAGAAGGAGAACAUGCCCAAGCUGGCCAGCUUCAGCACCACGCACCUACGGACGAGGCGUGCGUCAUGCGGGGAUGCAUCAGAGGGUCCGGGCCCGAUCUAUCCAGGCUGUUGCCCGAGAUCCUGAGUCCUGGGCACUGCCCCUAUUUCAAAGUUCAGCCUCUGUCCAGCUUGCUUUAUCUCCCUCCAGUGUUUCUCAAAACACAUUCCUCAAACCUGACUCUACAGAGUCUCAGGGAAUGGGUCCUGUUUCUAAACCAGUUUGGGAAAUACUGCACCACCCAGCUAUACUCCUUGCUAUACUCCUUGCUGCCAGCUUUACGAUUUAUUCCGACGUGUCGCACAAGAGAAACUCCGAACCUUCCUGAGUCCUCAGA